rnacentral:lncRNA from 1 species
GUUGUCGAGGUUGGUCUCGAACUCCUGGCCUUAAGCAAUCCACCCUCCUCGGCCUCCCAAAGUGCUGGGCCUCCUUCUUUUUUUGUUGAGGUUCCCAUACGUGACUCGCCCAAAGAGAGAUUCUCACCGGGUCCUCAGUCGCGGCCUGACCCCUUUUAAGAGAGGGACCUCAAGAGGGGAGCUGAAUUCCUUGAACCCCCGCCUUUCAAUCAAGUUUUCAAGGCACGCUUUGGCCGGGCCCUCCCGGACUGGGUGUGCUGCUACCUCCAGAGGAAAUCAACGUCUGUACCGAACUCCUAACCUGUGAAGACCUGCUAUCCUCAUAAUUGCGGAGUCGGGCCAAGGAAGGCUACUCUUUCCCCUUUGCAGAUGAGGCAACUGAGGCAACUGAGCCGCAGAAAACUAACGGACCGAGAUCACCCAGCCAGUGGAGCAAACAGCUCGAGCCCAGGCUCUCUGGCUCCUAUUCCCUCUGAAUAUUUAACUUACUAAACUGUUUGAGCAGCCGUAGAUUCCUUUCACAAUCCGGUAAAAUCUAUAAUUUUACCUCCCCUUCCCCAGAAUGUACUUAUUUUCCCAUCCAAUAUCGGAGCUUCUCGGACGUCCUGAAGUUACUCCCGGGAUAAAGACCCUCUUUCUCCUCCCCCUUGCCCCGCCCCACGACCUCGCUUCCCGGUAAUUGCUGGGAUCCCGAUUCUCUGGCCGCAUUCCGGGCGGACUGAUUGAGUGUAAUUCAACUGAGUUAUGAUUACAGCUGCUGGUUCCCUUGUGCCGCAGACGGGUGUGUGGGGAGGGGUGGGGCACGUGGAGACGGGCGAGAUGUCUGGAGAGAGCAGUGGGGCUGUUGUGCACGUUUUUGCUAGAGGUGAGGGUUGAGAGCUAGGGAGGAAACAGUUCCGAGCCCGCCCCGCUGGGACCCACGGGCUGAGGUCCUCCAGGAAGCACUGGGGCUCAGCUUUCCCUAUGUCAGUACGGAUGGAGCACACACAGGAAGGAGGCUGGGGGCCCUGCCGGAACAUUCUGAGGGCCUUGUUCUCUGCCUACGCUGGGACCUGCAGUCCCAUCUCCCAUUUGGCCUCAGCCAGCGUGGUUUAUUGUACACAAAUCCCGCUUGUUUCCUCCUUAUGCAGCAGUUUUAAAAUUUCGAACUAGUUCAAGAGCUGCUCGGCUGCUCGUUUACUUUCAGUUUUGGGAACAGAGGCUUACACCCCUUUCUCCUCCUGUUUCUCCUCCGGUCCCCCUUCCCC